CACGCAGGCGGUCUGUUAAGUUGGAUGUGAAAUCCCCGGGCUCAACCUGGGAACUGCAUCCAAAACUGGCAAGCUAGAGUAUGGUAGAGGGUGGUGGAAUUUCCUGUGUAGCGGUGAAAUGCGUAGAUAUAGGAAGGAACACCAGUGGCGAAGGCGACCACCUGGACUGAUACUGACACUGAGGUGCGAAAGCGUGGGGAGCAAACAGGAUUAGAUACCCAGUA
rnacentral:rRNA from 1 species